UACAGAGGGUGCAAGCGUUGCUCGGAAUUAUUGGGCGUAAAGGGCGCGUAGGCGGCUUGGCAAGUGGAAGGUGAAAUCCCUCGGCUUAACCGAGGAACUGCCCUCCAAACUGCUUCGCUUGAGACCGGGAGAGGUGAGUGGAAUUCCCAGUGUAGCGGUGAAAUGCGUAGAUAUUGGGAGGAACACCAGUGGCGAAGGCGGCUCACUGGACCGGUACUGACGCUGAUGCGCGAAAGCGUGGGGAGCAAACGGG
rnacentral:rRNA from 1 species